rnacentral:rRNA from 1 species
AUACGGAGGGUGCAAGCGUUAAUCGGAAUUACUGGGCGUAAAGCGCUCGUAGGCGGUUUGUUAAGUCGGAUGUGAAAGCCCCGGGCUCAACCUGGGAACUGCAUUCGAUACUGGCAAACUAGAGUAUAGUAGAGGCAAGUGGAAUUCCGGGUGUAGCGGUGAAAUGCGUAGAUAUCCGGGGGAACAUCAGUGGCGAAGGCGACUUGCUGGACUAAUACUGACGCUGAGGAGCGAAAGCGUGGGGAGCAAACGGGAUUAGAUACCCCGGUAGUCC